rnacentral:miRNA from 1 species
CUUUGAUCUCCACAUGAAG